rnacentral:rRNA from 1 species
ACGAACGCUGGCGGCGUGCUUAACACAUGCAAGUCGAACGGUGAAGCGCCUUCCUUUUUGGUGGGUGUGGAUGAGUGGCGAACGGGUGAGUAACACGUGAGUAACCUGCCCCCUUCUUCUGGAUAACCGCAUGAAAGUGUGGCUAAUACGGGAUAUUCUGGGUCUGUCGCAUGAUGGGUCUGGGAAAGAUAUUGUUUCGGUGGGGGAUGGGCUCGCGGCCUAUCAGCUUGUUGGUGGGGUGAUGGCCUACCAAGGCGGUGACGGGUAGCCGGCCUGAGAGGGUGGACGGGCACACUGGGGCUGAGACACGGCCCAGACUCCUACGGGAGGCAGCAGUGGGGAAUAUUGCACAAUGGGCGCAAGCCUGAUGCAGCGACGCCGCGUGAGGGAUGGAGGCCUUCGGGUUGUGAACCUCUUUCGCCAGUGAAGCAGGCCUGCCUCGUUUGUGGGUGGGUUGACGGUAGCUGGAUAAGAAGCGCCGGCUAACUACGUG